rnacentral:rRNA from 1 species
UACGUAGGGUGCGAGCGUUGUCCGGAAUUACUGGGCGUAAAGAGCUCGUAGGUGGUUUGUCGCGUUGUUCGUGAAAACCGGGGGCUUAACCCUCGGCGUGCGGGCGAUACGGGCAGACUGGAGUACUGCAGGGGAGACUGGAAUUCCUGGUGUAGCGGUGAAAUGCGCAGAUAUCAGGAGGAACACCGGUGGCGAAGGCGGGUCUCUGGGCCUGUACUGACGCUGAGGAGCGAAAGCGUGGGGAGCAAACAGG